rnacentral:rRNA from 1 species
AGUCGAGCGAAUGGAUUAAGAGCUUGCUCUUAUGAAGUUAGCGGCGGACGGGUGAGUAACACGUGGGUAACCUGCCCAUAAGACUGGGAUAACUCCGGGAAACCGGGGCUAAUACCGGAUAACAUUUUGAACCGCAUGGUUCGAAAUUGAAAGGCGGCUUCGGCUGUCACUUAUGGAUGGACCCGCGUCGCAUUAGCUAGUUGGUGAGGUAACGGCUCACCAAGGCAACGAUGCGUAGCCGACCUGAGAGGGUGAUCGGCCACACUGGGACUGAGACACGGCCCAGACUCCUACGGGAGGCAGCAGUAGGGAAUCUUCCGCAAUGGACGAAAGUCUGACGGAGCAACGCCGCGUGAGUGAUGAAGGCUUUCGGGUCGUAAAACUCUGUUGUUAGGGAAGAACAAGUGCUAGUUGAAUAAGCUGGCACCUUGACGGUACCUAACCAGAAAGCCACGGCUAACUACGUGCCAGCAGCCGCGGUAAUACGUAGGUGGCAAGCGUUAUCCGGAAUUAUUGGGCGUAAAGCGCGCGCAGGUGGUUUCUUAAGUCUGAUGUGAAAGCCCACGGCUCAACCGUGGAGGGUCAUUGGAAACUGGGAGACUUGAGUGCAGAAGAGGAAAGUGGAAUUCCAUGUGUAGCGGUGAAAUGCGUAGAGAUAUGGAGGAACACCAGUGGCGAAGGCGACUUUCUGGUCUGUAACUGACACUGAGGCGCGAAA